rnacentral:rRNA from 1 species
UACGAAGGGGGCGAGCGUUGUUCGGAUUUACUGGGCGUAAAGGGCGCGCAGGCGGCUCUGCAAGUCAGGCGUGAAAGCCCCGGGCUUAGCCUGGGAAUUGCGUCUGGGACUGCAGGGCUAGAGAUCGGGAGAGGAGAGUGGAAUUCCCAGUGUAGAGGUGAAAUUCGUAGAUAUUGGGAAGAACACCGGUGGCGAAGGCGGCUCUCUGGACCGAUACUGACGCUGAGGCGCGAAAGCGUGGGGAGCAAACAGG